GAUGAACGCUGGCGGCGUGCCUAAUACAUGCAAGUCGAGCGAACGGACGAGAAGCUUGCUUUUCUGAUGUUAGCGGCGGACGGGUGAGUAACACGUGGAUAACCUACCUAUAAGACUGGGAUAACUUCGGGAAACCGGAGCUAAUACCGGAUAAUAUUUUGAACCGCAUGGUUCAAAAGUGAAAGACGGUCUUGCUGUCACUUAUAGAUGGAUCCGCGCUGCAUUAGCUAGUUGGUAAGGUAACGGCUUACCAAGGCAACGAUGCAUAGCCGACCUGAGAGGGUGAUCGGCCACACUGGAACUGAGACACGGUCCAGACUCCUACGGGAGGCAGCAGUAGGGAAUCUUCCGCAAUGGGCGAAAGCCUGACGGAGCAACGCCACGUGAGUGAUGAAGGUCUUCGGAUCGUAAAACUCUGUUAUUAGGGAAGAACAUAUGUGUAAGUAACUGUGCACAUCUUGACGGUACCUAAUCAGAAAGCCACGGCUAACUACGUG
rnacentral:rRNA from 1 species